GUGAUCCUGCCAGUAGUCAUAUGCUUGUCUCAAAGAUUAAGCCAUGCAUGUCUAAGUGCACGCCUCAAUACGGUGAAACCGCGAAUGGCUCAUUAAAUCAGCUAUGGUUUAUUGGAUCGUACCCGUUAAAUGGAUAACUGUAAUAACUCUAGAGCUAAUACAUGCCACGAAGCCCUGACCUGUGGUAAAACACAGGAAUGGGUGCACUUAUUAGAUCAGAAACCAAUCGAGUCUAGUUCUCUAGGCUUGUUGUCGUUCUGGUGACUCUGGAUAAUUGUUACAGAUCGCAGUCGGCCUUGCGUCGGCGACGGGUCCUUCAAAUGUCUGCCCUAUCAACUUUCGAUGGUAGGUGAUCUGCCUACCAUGGUGAUAACGGGUAACGGGGAAUCAGGGUUCGAUUCCGGAGAGGGAGCCUGAGAAACGGCUACCACUUCCAAGGGAGGCAGCAGGCGCGCAAAUUACCCACUCCCGGUACGGGGAGGUGGUGACGAAAAAUACCGAUGCGGGACUCUUUUAGAGGCUCCGUAAUCGGAAUGAGUGAACUCUAAAUCCUUUCACGAGGAUCAAUUGGAGGGCAAGUCUGGUGCCAGCAGCCGCGGUAACUCCAGCUCCAAUAGCGUAUAUUAAAGUUGCUGCAGUUAAAAAGCUCGUAGUUGGAUCUCGGUUGCACUGUUGCCUGCCAUCGCUUGGUAGGAUGAAUGCAGGUUGAUGCGGUUCAUGCUGUGUUGCCUAGCACUCUCUGCUGUUGUGUUGGUUUGGUGGCGGUGUAACCUUUUAGCCAUGUCUGUGGUGUAAUACCCACAGGUGUAGGCAAGUGUCAGGCGGUGCUCUAUUCAUGUAGGGUCCGUCGGCUCGUCUGCAUGCCUUUGGAUGCCCUUAAAAAGGUGUCAGUGGGCGGAUGGCACGUUUACUUUGAACAAAUUUGAGUGCUCAAACCAGGCCGCUGUAGCCUGAAAAGUUUUGCAUGGAAUAAUGGAAUAGGACUUCGGUUCUAUUUUGUUGGUUUUCGGAUCCGAAGUAAUGAUCAAAAGAGACAGGCGGGGACGUUGUAUGGUGCGCUAGAGGUAAAUUCAUGGACCGUAACCAGACAGACUAAAGCGAAAGCAUUCGUCAAGCAUGUUUUCAUUGACCAUGAGCGAAAGUCAGAGGCUCGAAGACGAUCAGAUACCGUCCUAGUUCUGACCAUAAACGAUGCCAACUGACGAUCCGUGGUGGUAGUUCAUUAACCUUCCCCACGGGCAGCCCCCGGGAAACCUUUAAGUCUAUGGGUUCCGGGGGAAGUAUGGUUGCAAAGCUGAAACUUAAAGGAAUUGACGGAAGGGCACCACCAGGAGUGGAGCCUGCGGCUUAAUUUGACUCAACACGGGAAAACUCACCCGGGCCGGACACUGUGAGGAUUGACAGAUUGAAAGCUCUUUCUUGAUUUGGUGGUUGGUGGUGCAUGGCCGUUCUUAGUUGGUGGAGCGAUUUGUCUGGUUAAUUCCGAUAACGAACGAGACUCUAGCCUGCUAAUUAGUGCCCCUGUCCUCUGUAUCUGUGCGAGUGGCUGUCGUCAGUAUCGGCUUUCUAUGCUGGUCCGUGCAUAGCAUUGGUUCGUGGUCGAUAGUGGACUUUGACUAGUACAUUUGUUGAUGCGUUCAUCGUGUUGAUGGUGUCUAGUAAGGUUGCUAUCUGGCUUGGGCUGUUUGCUUUGUCGGUCUGGUUUAGUCGGUUUGUCGUGGUCUUCUUCCUGAUACGGCGCAGGUGUCUACUUCUUAGAGGGACAAGCAUAUACAAAUGCACGAGAUUGAGCAAUAACAGGUCUGUGAUGCCCUUAGAUGUCCGGGGCCGCACGCGCGCUACAAUGACGGUGCCAACGAGUCUGACCUCCUGGCCCGAAAGGGUUGGGCAAACUGGUCAAUCACCGUCAUGUCAGGGAUCGGGGCUUGGAAUUAUUCCCCGUGAACCAGGAAUUCCUAGUAAGUGCAAGUCAUAAGCUUGCGCUGAUUACGUCCCUGCCUUUGUACACACCGCCGUCGCUACUACCGAUUGAAUGGGUAA
rnacentral:rRNA from 1 species